CUGAGAUCCAACCAAAAUGGCGGGUGAGUAAGAAAUUUUUGUCAUAUUUUCAUAUAUUUUUAUGGGAAUAAACAUGCCUAAAUUAAAUGUUUAAUGAUAGGGACUGGAAGUCUGAAAAGUUAUAUAAAUAUCCAAUAUAAAAUUGCCAAAUUGGCAUUUUAAUUAUAUAUUUUUCCAAGUGCCUCUGUGGCUGUUUUGCAUGUUUCACCACGGGUUUCACACAGUCAGUAUUUUCUUAAGUAACGUGCCUGGCUGCCCAGGUACAGUUACUCUGGUAUCUCUAUCCAAAAGUAUAUGUCACUAUUAAAUAUGAGUCUAAUUGUAUAAAUAUCAGACAUCAGUAGUAUCAGUAGAUUGACAUUUUAGCUGAUUAGGCCGAUGGAAUUAUUAAGGUAUCAGUUUACCGUCACCCACCCGCGUGUGUUGUUGGCAGCCGCGUGAAAUUCUCAUUAUUUCAAUAUUUUUUUCAUUAUUUGUCAAAUUUGUAUAGCAAGAGUUUCAAAAAUGGCUAUCUGUUGAAAUUUUUGGCAAAUACUGACUUUGUUUAUACAGUUAGCGAAGCCACAGCAAAACGGAGUCAAAGACAUAGCUGAUAGCUCGGAAGCUCACAGGCGCGGCCCAGACGUGUAUCAGUAUAUAGCAAAUAUAUAAUUAUAGAAUAUACUACACAGUAAAAUUUGUAAUGAAUUUUAUAUUUUCAAAUCAUAUUUACUUGCCUACUUUAAUAUUUAUUGAUCGUCUUUUAUUUCUGGGCGACUUUACACUCUGUGCCUGCGACUGUCAAAGUAGGCAAGUAAAUAUGAUUUGAAAAUAUAAUUACAAAUUUUACUGUGUAGUAUAUUCUAUAAUUAUAUAUUUACUUUGAUCGAAAUUUGAAUUUUUAAUUCAAAACUUGACAAAUUCAAAUCGUGAAAAAUAAUGAAUAAUGAAAAAACUCUGCAUAAACUUUCGAAAUUUUAGGUGACGGUAAACUGAUACCUUAAUUCCAUCGGCCUUAUAAAUUGCCCAGACUGUAAAGUAUUAUUUUUGCGUGGGGAACUUUUCCGUCAUAAAUAUGCAGAUUUUGUAGGAUUUUCUUGAAAAUGUGCAGACAGAAAUUCAGCUAAAAUUUCUGCAUGGGGAUACAGACGGGUCAUUGCAUAUUUGCUUUCAAAUUCAAAAUUUAUAUCAGGACUGCAUGAGGCCUAAAAAUUUAUAUCCUGUUGUUCUGACUUCAUAUUCUGAAAAAUGUAGGGUAGGUAGACUGAUAGAGGGUCCUGAAGGGGUAAAACUGGAACUGGAUAGAGCUGUGCAAACUCUGGUUAUUUUAGCUCUGGCAGUCACAACUCUUUAAUGAAAUUUCAUAUUUAAAAGUGAAGCAGGCGAAAGUAUUUCAGUGUAGUUUCAGAAUUUAUCUUUUUUAACACAUUUUUACAACACUACUAAUAGUAAACAACAUAGUAAUAUAUAGUAAAACAACAUAUAAACAGUAAUAUAUCAGUAAACAACAACUUAAUUUUUCCAUUUAAUACCAAAUGUUCAUUGAAAUAUGAAAUAAUUUUUCAUAAUUUUGUCUGCCAGAGUUUUUGCCGGAGUUUUCCAACUCCGGCUGAGGGCUCCGGCAAAAUAUACCGCAGCUCCGGUGCACAGCUCUAGAACUGGAUUUCCUAUUUUUGGACUGGUAAAAUGGGAUUUGGGUUGCUGGGAGUAAAAGGUCAUAUCCCCCCGCUCCCCCUCAGGACCAUCUAGGUAGGUUGAAAUUAUUUUUAAAUUUUUGCUUGAUAUUGUUCAAAAUAUUAUGAUUGAGCAUGGUGGUGUCUGGUGACAGUGUAGGUGCAAUAAUAUACUUCUAGUAUUCUAGAGUGUGACAAUGAGCUGUAGUGAGUUGGUUGGAAGUAUUUAAUAAGAAUGAAAAAACCCAAACUUAAAACAAAAAGUGUGUGAACAGGAAUGUUCUGAUCUUUGUUUUAGCCUCUUGACCAAAUCUGCAACAACAUACAAGGAAACAGCAUUGUGGCAUUGCCAUUGCUUAUUUUCAUAUAUUAAAAGCUUUUUCAAUUUCUCUUUUGACAGGUCUGUGAGGAACUCUAGUCAAAUUUGAUGUACACUAACUGUGUACUCUGAUGACUCUUGACCGAAAGCGAUUUUUGUGUGUUUGUAGUCAUUACAUAUGGUGUAAAUUUCCUGUGAUGUGUUUUGUUGUUUAGUUUUUGUAUUGCAUGUCAUUGCUUUUUGUUUUUUAAGUCUCAAUGUUUUGUUGAUGUUGUGUGCUGUUGUUACUGUAUUUAUAAUGUAUUACUGUAAGAUGUUUGUGUCAUAUUUGUAAUGUCAAUGUCGAGUAAUGAUGAAAUUGAAUUGUCUGAGUGAUCUGACCCAGGUCAGAUAUGAUCCAACAAUUUUCUAUCUGUCUGAACUCAUUGUGAUUAAUAUAUUGCUAGGUCAUUAUCUUUAUUGAUAAGUGGAAUUGUGGGAUUGUUAUUACUCAUAGUACAUGUACCUUUCGCCUUGCAGGCAUUUAGUCCUAUGCCUAUGCAGGGUUCGAGAUUGGCGCUAUCCUUGUCCUUGACGAUACCAGUUUUCAAUUUUGGAUACCAGAUGUUAAAACCUUGGUAUCCAACCUGGUUACCAGGAAAUUCUUGCCUAACUAUCAAUUGUUGAACAUUACUUAUAAACUUUUCAAAG